CCAAUAGCGUAUAUUAAAGUUGUUGUGGUUAAAAAGCUCGUAGUUGAACCUUGGGCCUGGCUGGCCGGUCCGCCUCACCGCGUGUACUGGUCCGGCCGGGCCUUUCCCUCUGUGGAACCCCAUGCCCUUCACUGGGUGUGGCGGGGAAACAGGACUUUUACUUUGAAAAAAUUAGAGUGCUCCAGGCAGGCCUAUGCUCGAAUACAUUAGCAUGGAAUAAUAGAAUAGGACGUGUGGUUCUAUUUUGUUGGUUUCUAGGACCGCCGUAAUGAUUAAUAGGGACAGUCGGGGGCAUCAGGAUUCAAUUGUCAGAGGUGAAAUUCUUGGAUUUAUUGAAGACUAACUACUGCGAAAGCAUUUGCCAAGGAUGUUUUCAUUAAUCAGGAACGAAAGUUAGGGGAUCGAAGACGAUCAGAUACCGUCGUAGUCUUAACCAUAAACUAUGCCGACUAGGGAUCGGACGAUGUUAUUUUUUGACUCGUUCGGCACCUUACG
rnacentral:rRNA from 1 species